UUGAGAGUCUCUCGUAAUAUUUUUCAUUUUUUAUAAACUGUUAAAAACUAACCAUGAAAAAAGUUGGUGGACUUCCUAAGUAUUGUGUUAUAUGUUUAGAAAUUAUGUAUAAAUUAAUCAUGAAGGAGAGGAAGAAGGUAGCGCAUUUUUAAGUAAACUAGCUAUCAAAGUUGAUAUAUGAAAUAAUUAAUCAAAGCAAGAAGUAAGAAUGUCACACUUCAAAGACCAUAGAAAAAUUCUCAAUAUUAUUUGUGUGCAAGUGAAGAAGCUUUUGUAUGCUUUGGGGCAAUGAGUUGCUUUAUCUAUAAUCCAUGGAUUUUGUAGCUUCUUUAGUUUCACUUUGGACCUUUAUUUUGUUGCUUACAAUUUCAUGAAAUACUCCUACAAUAAACACUUGCUUAUUUCUACUAGUUACAAUCACUCUACUCCCUGGUCCGAAGUGAAUUGGUUCAAGAAAAUCUCGUAGAAGCUUUGGAGUAUUCACAUUAUCUAGCACAAGGAAAACCUUCUUCUUACUUAGCCUUCACACUAAAAAUGUUUACCUUCACCAGAAGUAUAUUUUUGAUCCCUAUUAUAUUAGAUUAUUAGGUCAGGUGAAAUACAUUUCAAUUAUGUCAUAGUUUUUUUAGCUCAUAUUUUCUUGUCUUUAUAUGUAUUGUUGCUAGGAUUAUCUGUGUAUAGUUGUACCUCAAUUAUUCGUGCUUGCUGUUGUUUUAUCAUAGAGUCCACAAUUGGUGAAGGAAAACAUGCAACUUCACUCCGUGGAUCAGUAGCGUAUUCAUUCUCUUGAAGCUCAUGUUGCAUCCUUUGCUCAAUUUAAGGUUCCUGAAAAUGAUAAUCCUUCUGUUUUGAUAUCUUUUUCCUCAAAGACACUUAAUGCUGGUCAAAUUAUAUUGAAGCUACAUGUUAUUGAGCUGGAUGCACAGCCAGGUCUACAUAUUUUUACCUCUCACACCUGUCUCCCAUGUUUUUAUUCUAUGGAAACAUAGGUGUUACACAAACGUGUCUUGUAGUACUAAGUUAUUUGUCCUCUCCUGAUUUUUUAUGUAAUUAGAUGAUAUUGAAAUA